UUGGAGGGCAAGUCUGGUGCCAGCAGCCGCGGUAAUUCCAGCUCCAAUAGCGUAUAUUAAGGUUGUUGCAGUUAAAAAGCUCGUAGUUGAAUUUCGGGAUCAAAUUGUCGGUCGUGCCUCGGUACGCACUGGUAUUAUUGGUUCCUACCUUCUGAAGAACCGCGAUGUCAUUAAUUUGGUGUCGUGGGGAAUCAGGACUGUUACUUUGAAAAAAUUAGAGUGUUUAAAGCAGGCUUACGCUUGAAUACAUUAGCAUGGAAUAAUGAAAUAGGACGUUUGAUUCUAUUUUGUUGGUUUCUAGGAUUGACGUAGUGAUUAAUAGGGUUAGUUGGGGGCAUUAGUAUUCAAUUGUCAGAGGUGAAAUUCUUGGAUUUAUUGAAGACUAACUACUGCGAAAGCAUUUGCCAAGGAUGUUUUCAUUAAUCAAGAACGAAAGUUAGGGGAUCGAAGACGAUCAGAUACCGUCGUAGUCUUAACCAUAAACUAUGCCGACUAGGGAUCGGAUGAUGUUAAUUUUUUAAUGACUCAUUCGGCGCCUUACGGGAAACCAAAGUGUUUGGGUUC
rnacentral:rRNA from 1 species